rnacentral:rRNA from 1 species
GCGUUCAGGGCGCAGCCUGAUCCAGCCAUGCCGCGUGAGUGAAGAAGGCCUUCGGGUUGUAAAGCUCUUUCACUCGGAAAGAAAAAAUCCCGACUAAUACUCGGGAUUCAUGACGGUACCUACAGAAGAAGCACCGGCUAACUACGUGCCAGCGCCGCGGUAAUAAA